rnacentral:rRNA from 1 species
UACGGAGGGUGCAAGCGUUAUCCGGAUUUACUGGGUUUAAAGGGUGUGUAGGCGGGCUUUUAAGUCAGUGGUGAAAUCUCCGGGCUCAACCCGGAAACUGCCAUUGAUACUAUUAGUCUUGAAUUUUGUUGAGGUAGGCGGAAUAAGUCAUGUAGCGGUGAAAUGCUUAGGUAUGACUUAGAACACCAAUUGAGAAGGCAGCUUGCUAAACAAACAUUGACGCUGAGGCACGAAAGCGUGGGGAUCAAACAGG